GACACGAAGCGUAUACGACGAGACAGUGCUUAAUAAACAAUAAAACUUGUAAAUUCAGUUGUUUUAUUUAGAGUUCACUUUUGCAGUUUUGUAUGUUUGUUGCAAACUUCUGUUGUUAUACUAACAAUUACUUUAAUACGAUUACGUUAUUUAAAACCCUAACGAUUAAUCUUCGUUCACAGUUUGGCAUGGAGUUAGAUAAUUAUUUAAGAGGGCAAGAUUACGAAAAAUAGUGCUGAGUAAGAGCCUUGGAAGCAACAACUUACAAUUUAAUAUUUUUUUAAAAUUUUUUUUUGUAAACAUAAUUUUAUUAGCAUUAAAUGUCAUAUAUGUUUAUAGCCUCAUAUAAAACAAAAACCUGUGUAUCGGUAAUGCUUACAGAAAUUAUUUUGUGUUUAUUAUAUAAUUCAUAUUAUGUAUUCACUACUGACAAAAAUUGUUUAUUCUCCAUUCUGUAUUAUUUUCGGCAAGAUUAAGAUACUUCCAUAUUCGUAAUAUUUGCAUAUUCGUAUUUUUUCAUAAAAUUUUGUCUGUGUAAUAGACUAAAGGGAACAGAAACAAAAUAUGAAAUAGAAUUAUACUGUUUAGUUUUAACAACUGCACGUGUAUUUGUCACGUUAUGUGUGUGAUUAUUACAUGAUGAUUUAUAGAAUAUGUCUGUCUGUCUGUAUUUUGUGUAAAUAAUCUUCGAUUGUUGGUAU